GUAUGUAAAAUUACAUUUGUUUGCAGGAUGUUACAGAAGGACCUUUGGGGUCAAAAUCAUAUGUCUGGGGCAAGUAUAACAGAACAAAUGUUUCUACUUAAACGAGGAGCAUAGUAUGAGUCCACGGGACAGGGCAGUUAAAACGAGCUGAAUUGCUGAAGGAGCAGUGGUUUGGAGUUUAUAGAAUCUGCAGCUGCCGCUUUCUGCCACCUGAGGUCGCCUUUUAUCCCUGAUCAGCGCUGGUCUGCUGGCACUGCAAGAAUAAGGCAAAGUUUAGGUGCUUCAUUGUAACUUUGAGGGUGAAAAAUCCUUUCAGAAGCAUUACUUUCUCAUAUCUGCAAAUGGUUUAUGACUGCGAUUGUUGGGCUUCUGGUAGACAAUUUCUUUGUUAGUGUUCAGCAAAUUAUGCUUUGUUGCUGCUUUAUCAGCUUUGUUAGUGUUCAGCAAAUUAUGCUUUGGUAGUGUUUUUAUUUUCACUACAGUUCUCUUCUCCCUCUGGCUUAUCAUAUAAUGGCUUAUGAUUCUAGUGCCUAAAAUCAACUUUCAAGCUUGUUUCUAAGCAAAGCAAGAUGAGUGAAGGUAUUUGAGACAUGCAGUGGCUUUAGCAAUUUGGAGUCUGAUACCCUUUGGAAACAGAGGGGAUCCUUUUUCUCCAAGGUGCUUCUGCACAAUGUUUCUGAUAGUGGAGAAGAUAAAAGUAAGUAAAUGGCUCCUCUUUCUCAUGUUAGUAUUUUUCAGUCUAUGGUAGUUUUUUAUGUGGUUGUCAUUUUAGUCAUCAAUUACAAAAAAAAAGCAACAUAGCCAUAAAAAGGCAAGCAACAAUAGUUGCUCCUUGAUUGAAAUUUUAAGUUUGCUCUAUCAGUGUGCAAACUGGCUGAUCCAUUUCCCGCCCCUCACCAGUUCUUGGUUUAUUAUUCCUCACCUGUGUGUUGGUGAGAGCAUCUGCACAUGUGUGUAGUGAGCCAGAUCAGGGUAUUCAUCUGGCUAGAAAACAAGCAAAUAAACAAAACCGCAACAAGUGUUGAGGUUUUUGUUUUGGCUUGGGUUUUCUUUUGCUUUGGGGGGGGGGCGUUGGAGACAGUCUUCCUCUUUGAUCUACCUUGCUAUCUAGCUGUACAAGUGUUUGCACUGGCACAAAAGAAAGGAUGCCAGGAAGGCUGGGAUUAAGAGGCUAAUGCUGGAACUGCUUAAGCUGUCUCUGUCCUUGAGACAGUGCUUGAUCCACAAUGACCUGAUUGAUCUGUUCUAUAUAAGAUGAAGUAUUUCUGCGUUCUGUAAACUCAAGUUUCAGAAAGAAAAUACAGGCAUGAUUUCAUAACAUCUGCCAGCCUGGAGACUUGCAUAAUGGUUUACAACUAGUGGUAAUACAGGAGAUAUUUAUACCUCCUUCAGGCUGGCAUGAAGGUGCAUGUUGUAAUGGGCCUUGUUCUCAUGGGGCAGGCCUUUUCUGGCUGAAGCAUACGUUCCCUUGUUUAGCAGACAGAAGCAGAAAACAAAGUCUCUUUUGUGUUUCCCUAUGGACUUCUUUGCAGGUCUGGUUCUUAAGGCUCAGGGAUUAUGCUUGUGCAUUCAACUAUUCAAAAGUAUUUUGAACUUCUGUUUGUCAAACCUCCAGUAUUAUUUGCUUUGCACUUACAGCAGGAGUUACAGAAGCUAAAGGCUAAGGAAAGGUUUGUAAGGCGAAGGUAGUAUCUUUCAUUUUAGACUAAUAUAAAUGGGGGGAGGGGGGGAAAGUACAAACCUUUCUGAUUUCAGAUACCACCAGAUAGUGUUUUUCUGUGCCACCUUUCUUUAGAUCUGUAUCGGUACACAGCUGUGUAAGGCAUUGAAGAAGCUUAUUUUUUCAGAUUCCAUUUUAUUCAGAUCCAGCAGUCUAUGUGCUUUUUAUGGUCAACGUGAACAAACAGACACCCCUAAAGGAAUUGUUCCUCUCAAUCCAUAAUUAGAACAGAUCAGAUGAAUUGCAACUCAGUGGUGCCCCUAUUGGGUAUAAGAGCUUGGGAUGACACGCACCGAUGUGAAUGUUUGGCAUGUGGGAUGUUAGAACUACCCGAGAAGUGAAACCUAGCUUGUACUGCUUUAUGAUAUAUAUACAUGUAUAUAUAUCAUAAUGUAUAUUUAAAUAUAUGUAUUUAAAGGUGGUAAAGUAUACAGUUGCUAUGGUAAAGAAAAGAUGGUGCAAGCAGGAAAAUAUAUAGAGGCAGGAAGUUCUACAGAAAUACUGUCAAGGUGUUAACAAACAAGUAAGAAUUUGAAAUAAUGCGGUCUUUCUUUGCUCUGACAUGGUCUUAGUACAUGACUUUUGAAGACAAUUCAUUUUCUUAUGGACUCCCUCUUCUCUGGAAAUCAGGCAGUUGAAAACAUAAGAUGCUGCUCUGCAAAAUAAAUCAGCUGUACUUGCACAUUCUGAGUGUUUCACUCAAUUAGGCAAGGCUCAUAAAAAGGCUCAGAUCUGUUAAUUCAGGAAUGUGUGCUAAUGCAUUGCUCCAAAAGGACCAUCACCUUAAAUCUUGUGCUUCUUCAA